rnacentral:rRNA from 1 species
GACGAACGCUGGCGGCGUGCCUAAUACAUGCAAGUUGAGCGCUGAAGGUUGGUACUUGUACCAACUGGAUGAGCAGCGAACGGGUGAGUAACGCGUGGGGAAUCUGCCUUUGAGCGGGGGACAACAUUUGGAAACGAAUGCUAAUACCGCAUAAAAACUUUAAACACAAGUUUUAAGUUUGAAAGAUGCAAUUGCAUCACUCAAAGAUGAUCCCGCGUUGUAUUAGCUAGUUGGUGAGGUAAAGGCUCACCAAGGCGAUGAUACAUAGCCGACCUGAGAGGGUGAUCGGCCACAUUGGGACUGAGACACGGCCCAAACUCCUACGGGAGGCAGCAGUAGGGAAUCUUAGGCAAUGGAAGAAAGUCUGACCGAGCAACGCCGCGGGAGUGAAGAAGGUUUUCGGAUCGUAAAACUCUGUUGGUAGAGAAGAACGUUGGUGAGAGUGGAAAGCUCAUCAAGUGACGGUAACUACCCAGAAAGGGACGGCUAACUACGUG